rnacentral:rRNA from 1 species
CCUACGGGUGGCAGCAGUGAGGAAUAUUGGUCAAUGGGCGCAAGCCUGAACCAGCCAAGUAGCGUGAGGGAUGACUGCCCUACGGGUUGUAAACUUCUUUUAUCGAGGAAUAAAGUUAGGCACGUGUGCCUUUAGGUAUGUACUUUAUGAAUAAGGCACCGCUAACUCCGUGCCAGCAGCCGCGGUAAUACGGGGGAUUCGAGCCUUAUCCGGCAUUAUUGGGUUUAAAGGGAGCGUAGAGGGGUUGUUAAGGCAGGUGGUAAAGUUUGAGGCUCAACCGGAAAAUUGCAAUUGAUACUGGCAGCCUUGAGUAGAGGUGAGGUAUGCGGAAUGCGUGGUGUAGCGGUGAAAUGCUUAGAUAUCACGCAGAACUCCGAUUGCGAAGGCAGCAUACU